rnacentral:rRNA from 1 species
AUAGCGUAUAUUAAAGUUGUUGCAGUUAAAAAGCUCGUAGUUGAACCUUGGGCCUGGCUGGCCGGUCCGCCUCACCGCGUGCACUGGUCCGGCCGGGCCUUUCCUUCUGGGGAGCCGCAUGCCCUUCACUGGGUGUGUCGGGGAACCAGGACUUUUACUUUGAAAAAAUUAGAGUGUUCAAAGCAGGCCUAUGCUCGAAUACAUUAGCAUGGAAUAAUAGAAUAGGACGUGCGGUUCUAUUUUGUUGGUUUCUAGAGUCGCCGUAAUGAUUAAUAGGGAUAGUUGGGGGCAUUAGUAUUUAAUUGUCAGAGGUGAAAUUCUCGGAUUUGUUAAAGACUAACUUAUG